UACUACUGGUUUAGGCAGUUUGCCUGGAAU
rnacentral:piRNA from 1 species